AGAGUUUGAUCAUGGCUCAGGAUGAACGCUAGCGGCAGGCUUAAUACAUGCAAGUCGAGGGGCAGCACAGGUAGCAAUACUGGGUGGCGACCGGCAAACGGGUGCGGAACACGUACACAACCUUCCUUUCGGUGGGGGAUAGCCCAGGGAAACUUGGAUUAAUACCCCAUAAAAUGAUUUAAUCGCAUGAUUAGAUUCUUAAAGAUUUAUUGCCGGAAGAUGGGUGUGCGGCUGAUUAGGUAGUUGGUGCGGGUAACGGCCCACCAAGCCAACGAUCAGUAACUGGUGUGAGAGCACGACCAGUCACACGGGCACUGAGACACGGGCCCGACUCCUACGGGAGGCAGCAGUAAGGAAUAUUGGUCAAUGGACGGAAGUCUGAACCAGCCAUGCCGCGUGGAGGAUGAAGGUCCUCUGGAUUGUAAACUUCUUUUAUAGGGGGCGAAAAAAGGGAAUUCUUUCUCGUCUGACGGUACCCUAUGAAUAAGCACCGGCUAACUCCGUGCCAGCAGCCGCGGUAAUACGGAGGGUGCAAGCGUUAUCCGGAUUUACUGGGUUUAAAGGGAGCGCAGGCGGAAUGUUAAGUCCGUGGUGAAAGCCCUCAGCUCAACUGAGGAACUGCCAUGGAUACUAUCAUUCUUGAAUGUCG
rnacentral:rRNA from 1 species